GCCCGAUUAAGAUGAUCCCAGCUCCUAAUCCCGAUGAAUUGGAAGACCCAUCCACAUGAAGAAUCCAUUGGUUUUUAGGAUCAGAGUUCAUAUUUAUUUGUUCCUCUAGCGCUAUUGAGCUACUCUCUGCAGCCUCCGAACCCUCCUCAUCAGGGAUGGUGCAUUCAAGGAUAAAGUGUUCGGAUGCUAGGGGUUUCAUGCAUGCAUUUCAAAAAUUUUUAGCA
rnacentral:lncRNA from 1 species